rnacentral:rRNA from 1 species
CAGCAGCCACGGUAAUACGUAGGUGGCAAGCGUUGUCCGGAAUUAUUGGGCGUAAAGGGCUCGCAGGCGGUUUCUUAAGUCUGAUGUGAAAGCCCCCGGCUCAACCGGGGAGGGUCAUUGGAAACUGGGAAACUUGAGUGCAGAAGAGGAGAGUGGAAUUCCACGUGAAGCGGUGAAAUGCGUAGAGAUGUGGAGGAACACCAGUGGCGAAGGCGACUCUCUGGUCUGUAACUGACGCUGAGGAGCGAAAGCGUGGGGAGCGAACAGGAUUAGAUACCCGAGUAGUCCCUGUCUCUUAUAC